rnacentral:misc_RNA from 1 species
GCAAAGUGCAGCGCAGCUGCACCUAUGGUUGCCCUGCUGUGAAAUCCUUCUCCUCCAGAGCUUAAAUUUAAAACACGUUUAAUAAAUGAGUUAAAAAUCAUUUCUUUGUAUAAAGCUCACAUGUCUAAAAAAGCUCAAUUCACAUGAUAAAUUUUUAUUUAAAUGAAAUUUUAUAUAAAUUGUUUAAAGAAUUAAAAUAUUU